AUGGCCGGCAUCAUGCACAAGAUCGAGGAGAAGCUCCACAUGGGUGGCGGCAGCGACGAGCACAAGAAGGACGAGGAGCACAAGAAGGCGGAGGAGCACAAGAAGAAGGACGGGGAGCACAAGAAGGACGGCGAGCACAAGGAGGGCAUGAUGGAGAAGAUCAAGGACAAGAUCAGCGGCGACGGCCACGGCGACGGCAAGAAGGACGGCGACCACAAGGAGAAGAAGGACAAGAAGAAGAAGAAGGACAAGAAGCACGGCGAGGGCCACAAGGACGACGACGGCCACGGCAGCAGCAGCAGCGACAGCGACAGCGACUGA
rnacentral:rRNA from 1 species